AGAAAGAAGGCUUUUUCUGACCAACUCUAGCGACUAACUUCGAGGUUGGUCGCUUAUAGUUGACUUUUUGAGACCACUUUUGAAGUUGGUCGUGAAGUUGGUCGCUUUAUACUAUAGGCGACCAACUUCGCGACCAACUCCGAAGUUGGUCGCCAAUUUGAAGAUGAAAGCGACCAACUUCGCGACCAACUCCGAAGUUGGUCGCCAAUUUGAAGAUGAAAGCGACUAACUUCGCGACCAACUCCGAAGUUGGUCGCCAAUUUGAAGAUGAAAGCGACCAACAGUUUGGUCGCCUGACUCUUUUUUAAUAAAAAUAAAUAAAAUGCAACCAACAUGUUGGUCGCGUACAUAUUUCGUUAAUUUUUUUAAAAAUAAAUUCAAUUUUACUACCAACAUAAAUUUAAAAAAAUAAAAGGCGACCACUUAGUUGGUCGUAUGAUAAUUUUUUAAAAAGACGACCAACCAGUUGGUCCCUUAAAUAUUUCAAAAUUUUAAAAAAAUAUAUCUUCCAAUUUGGCGACCAAAGGUUGGUCGCCUAAAUUAAAAAAUAUAUAUAAAUAAAACAAUGCAACCAACUAAAUUGGUGGCCUGAUUAAAAAAAUUUAAAUUUGAAAAUUAAAAAAUAUGGCGACUGACCAGUUGGUCAUUUAAAUAUUCCGUAUGUUUUUAAAAAAAUUAUAGUUCGCCUGAAUAAAAAAAUUAAAAUUUGAAAAAUAUGGCGACUGACCAGUUGGUCAUUUAAAUAUUCCGUAUGUUUUUAAAAAAAUUAUAAUUCGCCUGAAUAAAAAAAUUAAAAUUUGAAAAAUAUGGCGACUGACCAGUUGGUCAUUUAAAUAUUCCGUAUGUUUUUAAAAAAAUUAUAAUUCGCCUGAAUAAAAAUAUUUCGUAUGUUAAAAAAAAUUCCAAGUCGCGACCAACCUGUUGGUCGCUUACAUAUUUAACGUGAUGGGCUAAGAUAUAUUUAACGUGAUGGGUCGCAGGACCAACUAAAUUCAUUUUCUAAUUAAUUCAUAUAGAAUUAUACCUUAUUAUAAUAUAUACAUAUUACAAUAACGUUUACCCUUUUCCUAUAAAACAAGACACCUUUUUCCUUUCUUUAGUAAAGAAUUUAGCUUAGGAUAUUCUAUAUUUUUUUCUACUUGGAUACAAAUUUUCCGUAUUCAAAAGGAAAUCAUCACAAAAAACAUAUUUUAGAAUGAACUUGUUUUCUAUUUUUAUUUUUGUGUUUGAGUCCACGAGCGGUACUGGUUAUAUAAUACUUCAUUAGAUAAUUGUACAUCUAAGAAUUAGAUGGGCUAAUUUUGUAUAUAUUACAAAUUUUAUAUGUAUUAUAAGUGGUAUUUUUUUUUUAAAUCAAUUUUACUACCAACAUAAAUUUAAAAAAAUAAAAGGCGACCACUCAGUUGGUUGCAUGAUUUUUUUUUUUAAAAGCAACCAACCAGUUGGUCCUUUAAUAUUUCAAAAUUUUAAAAAAAUAUCUUCCAAUUUGGCGACCAAACUGGUUGGUCGCCUAAAUUAAAAAAUAUAUAAAUAAAUAAAACAAUGCGACCAACUAAAUUGGUCUCCUGAUUAAAAAUAUUUAAAUUUGAAAAUUGAAAAAUAUGAAAACCAACUAUUUCGUAAGUUUAAAAAAAAUCAAUUCGUGGUCGCCUGAAUUAAUAUAUAUAUAUAUAAAAUCAAACACAAUGCGACCAAUCUGUGGAUCGUUAAAAAUUAAAUUAAAAGAGAUUAAAAAAAUGAAAAAACAAAACGACCUAACUAAGUUUGUCGCCUGAAUUUAAAAUGAAAUAAAAAAGACAAACAUUAAAUAUUUCAUAAAUUUAAAAAAAAAAAAAAUAUAUUUCAUAAUUUUAAAAAAAAUUAAAUAUUUCUAAUUUUCCUCCCCUUUUCCUUUAGCUUCUAACAAUUAUUUAAAUUUUUUUAUUUUCCCCCUUUAACAUUUCGUUUUCCCCAAUAUUAUUUCCCUCAUUUAUUUUGUUCCCUCCAAUAGUAUUCCCCAAUAUUCUUUCCCCAAUAUUAUUUCCCCAAUCUCAUUUCCCCCCAUCCUCCAAUCUUGUUUCCCCCAUCUCAUUUCCUUCAAUCUUGUUUCCCCCAAUCUCCUUCUCAACAACCAGCGGCGAUUCCAAUGUCACUUGAAUUAGAAAUUUGGUAACACUUCCUUCCAGAGGCGAUUCCAGUGCUACUCGGCCAGUGUCAACUUGCUGCAGCAGUUGACGGAGGUUCUACCCUCUCGCUGUUCAUUUCCCACAGCUACGUAGGUAUGUCUAUUCUUCUUGUCUCCAAAUCUACUUUCUAUUCCAAGUACGUUCUUGGAUUUAGGUUGUUUUCAUAUGUCAAAAUCCAGAAAUUUCAUGUCACAGGACGUUGGUUCCGCAACAAAGAAAAUGAAGAGACACACAAGUGCCAUGCCAUUGAAUGUCGUGUCAUCUGCAGGCAGUGUGCAUGACAGUUUAAAACAGACUAGCAUUGAUACUUCUGAAUUUGAGUCAACUGCAACAUCAAGAAUAAAGAGAGCGAAAAUAGAGGUAUUUAAUUAUCUUUGUAACUUGAUUUGCCAUUGUUCUAUUUCAUGUCUCAGAUUAUUCAAUCAGGUGAACGUAUUCCGAUACACCCUGUGUUGAAUUAUUAACUGAUUUUUUCUUAUGGUCAUCGUAACUAAAAAGUAAAUCUUUUGUUGUCUAGGCUAAUCAUGCUCUUUUGGAGGAGAUCAGAUUCAUUAAUCAGCAGUUAAUUGAUACAUCUGUGGAUGUAACUGAUGAAGAUAUCGAUUCUAUCAGUUCAACAACCGACGGAGAAGGAACAGUUGUUAAGUUUACAUACCUUGCAAUAUCUCUCAGUCCAACAUUAAAGUCGCAGUUUGCUGCAUCCAGAGUGGUGAGAUUUUGACUCCACCAUUUCAGUUAUGGAUCUACAAGUUAAGUUGAUUUGUUUUCAAAGUUGAUUUGUUUGCUGCAGUCCCCCAUCUUACCCUUGCUGUUAUUUAUCCCCCCAAGUUAUCCAUGCUGUUCUCCUGUACUUUUGGAUAAGAUUUCUGUUGAAAUGAGGUGCCAAAAUCUAUUUUUUUUUAUCACUUCCAUGAUUCUUGAACCAAAUUUCCUAUUUGACUCAUUUUUAUUAUUACAAUGUGUGUAUAUAAUAAACAGCAAUGAGUCGGAAGAUCUUUCGGUCAAGGUAAAAUCACUGUUCAGCAGUUCUCUCCGUGGGCUUUCGUCUCCGAUGUGUCUUAAGGAAAUGGCAAGGUCAUGGGAUGUUUGUGUGAGGACAGUCGUGUCAGAAUUUGCCCAAUUGAGUGGUGGAGGAACUUUCAGCUAGUUCCUUAUUAGUUCAUCAUACAUAUAAUUUAGGGUUCUUUAUUUUUCCUUUCCUUUUAGGAUUCCACAUGGGCAUCAUAUGUCAACAGUCUGCCACUCUGUAAUUUCUUUUUGACAGGCUGCUCAGGUGAUAUUUCUUUUUCUUUCUAAUUUGGUUGAUUUUUUUUGCUUCCGUUUUGUUUUUAGAUAUAUUCGAAUUGAUGAUCUUGUUUGUGGGUGUCAAAUCAGUGUUCUCUUUUUCUUAAUUUUGAGUUUUUGGUUGCCUUUGGCUUGUGUACAGUGUUGGAUUUGUUGAUCAGAAUUAGAUAAAUUGCUCAUGAGUUAUAUUGUAAAUGUUUUUUUUUUUGCUUUUCAUUUUUUGUGCAGCGGUCAUGUUUAGAUGAGGUUAAUUACCAAAAUUGACUAUUCUCAAGUUUAUAUAUAUCAGAGUUAAUUGAACUCAUGCAACUCAUAAGGGAUCGAUUUUUCAUACCAUAUUUAAUUUACCUAUUAUUUAUUCAUUUUAAUGCAGAGAUGGGUAUAAUGUGAAUGGCUAUAUCAUGCUUAAGUUUAAUUCAACUAUUAAGUGAUUUACAUUUUUUCCAAGGUGUCCAUCCAAAGAAAAGAAGUGAGUAACUGAACUAAAUCUGAUGAUUAUGCUUGUGAGUUGUAACUUAAAUAAAUGUUGUUUUUGUUUUGUUUUUCGUUAUGUCUAAUUGUUUAUGCAGGGUGGAUUUAUCCGUCGGAAUUUAUUCAAAAUUCUAAAACACGAAAAGGAUGUAUGCAUUUUUCAAAUCGUCUUUUGGAUGCAAUAGCAAGUCAUUGUGUCCCAUAUGAAGAUGUUCUUGAUGAGAUUGAGCUCCCAUAUGAAGAUGUUCUUGAUUACUUAGAAUUUUGUAUGUUAAUUCGUCGGCACAUCUGAUUCUCUCAAAAAGGGUUUCUUGGUCCAUUUGGUUGUUCCCUCUAGAUUUUUGGUUUAAUCUUAAAUCCGUGUAAAAAAAUUAAUUUUUUCGAGAAUAACCCUCUAACUUUAAUUAAAUUACACCUAUAAAAUUUGUAAUAUAAAAUUUCAAAAGUUUUCAAAAAAUCGACUGAUUUGAUGUGUCAAAAAACCGACUUUAAUUUCAUUUUUUUUGAAUUAAACCAAAAGUAAUUCCUACACUCUAUUAAAAUACCUAUAAAAUUAAACAAAUACCUAAAACAUCUAUAAAAUUGCAAACCCUAUAAUUGUAACAAGAUGUGAGGUCGAGAUUGGCCGACCGCUAGAUAAUAACUUGCCACGGUCGCACCUGAUUCGUUUUGUAUAUAUAUAUAUAUUGGGUUAGGAUUUAGGAAUAUGAUUAUAUUUUUUAUAUAAAUUAAGAUUUUCCAAAAAUUAUUUUGAUAUAUUGUAUAAUUACGUAGAUGUAGAUAGUUAUGUUUUAUUUUAUGGUUGGAUUUAAAUCAAAUAUACCUAAAUUUUUAAUAGUUAAAUUAACCAAUACAUUUUUAGACUUGAGCCAUUUGAAAAACUUAAAUCUUUUUUUAUAUUAAUUAAACCAAUUAGAAAAAAAAUCAAAUUAAAAUAAAUUUUUUAUCCAAGUGUAAGGCGAAUUCUAUUAAUAUUUAAUUUAAUUAUCAAAAAAUAAUUAAAUAAUAUCAUAAUUAGUUUUUACACAAAGAAAAUUAUUUAAUAUCAUAAUUAAAUAAUAUCAUAACCUAACCCUAAUUCACUAAUACACAGAAAUUAGUUCAAUAUAUUGGUCAAAAGAUUAGAUUUCAUUGAUAAUGAAUGAUCUUAGGGUUAGGUUAGGAUUAGGUUUAGUGUUUGAAUUGCCUGAAUAUUUAAAAUUCAGAUUGGGUCAAGAUUAACCCGAAUCAUGUCAAUACUUAAUUACACUAUUAUGCAUAUAUAUUUAAAUCAAUAAAAUAUAAUUUUUAUAAUAUGUUCUAUUUUUAUGUCUAUAUAUAUAAUUAAAUAUAUAAAUUUUAUGAUAUAGUCCGUAUACUAAAAAAAAAAAGUAGACAGUUUAAGCGAAAUAAAGUAAAUGUAAUUUCCAGUAAAAACACUUAUAAUCUAAGUUAACAGAAUUUUCGUUAAAUUUAAUAAAUUCCAUUAGAAAAUUUAACGGAUUUUAAAUUAUUUGUAUGAGAAUAUCGGUUACAAAUAAAUAAUAAAAAAUUAUUUUUCAUUUUUCAAUAUCCCUCUUACAAAAUAGUAACCAAUUUUAUAAUAUGUUUUAUUUGUUGUCAACUAUAUAUAUAAUUAAAUGUUAAAAUUUUAUAAUAUAAUCCAUAAUUACUAAUUAGGUUUUUUAAAUUUAACCAACAUAAAAAAAACUAAAUAUUAAUGAAAUUGAUUUUAAAAUUUUAUUAUAAUGAAAUAAAAUUAUAAUAUAAAACAUAAAAAUUAAAAAAAAAAUCUUAAAAUAAUAAUAUAAUUAAUGUAAAAAUUAAAAAAUAAUAAUGAAUUAUAUAAAAUGAUGAUUUUGCGAUUUCAGAACCGACGAGGUUGAAUAUAUAUUUCAAAUUUGGCGAUUCGUGACAUCCUAUAUUAUUUAUAAUCCAAAAUAAUUAUAAUUUUUUGAUUAAGGUGUAAAUUUAUAUUAAAAAAUACAUGAGAUAAAUACCUUAAAAUAUUAUAUAUUAUUUAGAGAUCGAUAAUAUAUUUUUAAAGAUAAUAUAUAUAAUUAUUUUAGAGAUCGAUAAUAUAUUUUUAAAGAUAAUAUAUAUAAUUAUUUUAGAGAUAAUAUAUUUUUUAUAGAAAAUAUAUUUGUUAAAUAAUAAUUAUUAUAUUUAUAAAAUAAUUAAAUUUUAUAAAAAUUAAUUUUAUUUAAAAAUUAAAUUUAAAAAAUAUAUGAGAUAAAUACCUUAAAAUAUUAUAUAUUAUCUAGAGAUCGAUAAUAUAUUUUUAAAGAUAAUAUAUAUUAUUAUUUUAGAGAUAAUAUGCUUUUUAUAGAAAAUAUAUUUGUUAAAUAAUUAUUAUUAUAUUUAUAAAAUAAUUAAAUUUUAUUUAAAAAUUAUAUUUCAAUAUUUCCACUUUUUCCACUUCUUUUCUACUUUUCCCACUUCUUUUACUUCUAAUUUUCAUUUCUAACUACUUAAAAAAAAAGCUUCUCCAACUUCCAACUUCGGACAUUUCUUUCGACCUCUCUUACGACAUCUCUUCCGACUACCUCAAUUUCCUCCCUCCAACAAGGUAAACAUUUUUAUUCCUAUUCUAGUUCCGGCGAGUUCGAACCGACCUUGCCGGGGGGUGCUGGGCGAGUUCCCAGCUCCCAUGCGUUGUCCAUAGGAUGACGCAAUAUCAAAUUUCCAGCCUCGUCGGUGGGUGCUGGGCGAGUUCCCAGCACCCAUGCGUCGUCCUGUGGAAAAUGAAAGAAAGACUCUCUCUCUAACUAUAUAUUCAUAUUCCGGGAGAAGAGAAUCGUUGGUUUGUUUGACCGACGAACUAUGUGUAUGUGGGAAAAUCGAAGAGAAGAGCAACCAUAGGUAGAGAGCGGCUCAUGUUCCUAUGACUAUAGUAGCAGGUGAAAAAAAAGCAGCUAGUAACCGUUAAAUAUAGAAUCCAGCCAACUUCCUACCAAAUGCGC
rnacentral:lncRNA from 1 species